GAGUUUGAUCCUGGCUCAGAUUGAACGCUGGCGGCAUGCCUUACACAUGCAAGUCGAACGGCAGCACGGGAGCUUGCUCCUGGUGGCGAGUGGCGAACGGGUGAGUAAUGCAUCGGAACGUAUCCUGGAGUGGGGGAUAACGUAGCGAAAGUUACGCUAAUACCGCAUAUUCUGUGAGCAGGAAAGCGGGGGACCUUCGGGCCUCGCGCUCUUGGAGCGGCCGAUGUCGGAUUAGCUAGUUGGUGAGGUAAAGGCUCACCAAGGCGACGAUCCGUAGCAGGUCUGAGAGGAUGAUCUGCCACACUGGAACUGAGACACGGCCCAGACUCCUACGGGAGGCAGCAGUGGGGAAUUUUGGACAAUGGGGGCAACCCUGAUCCAGCCAUGCCGCGUGAGUGAAGAAGGCC
rnacentral:rRNA from 1 species